GGAUGUUGAGAAUAUUUUGGGGUAGCACUGGAGUCUUUGGGGAAGGUGUCUGAUUUCAGCAUGUUCCCAGCCUUCUGCUUGGGAGAAGAAAGACAGAUGACGUUCCCAGCCCAUGAGCACCCAGCUCCACAGCCAACUCCUGGGCCAGGCACAGCACGAUGCCCAGCAGCUGGCACGAGCCUCACCAGAAAGCUGCUCGCUCACACCCAGCUCUGGCGCUGCUGGCUUGGCAUUCAUUUUGCUGCAAAAGGGAAGUUUGGAACACGCAGGAGUACCACCACGUGCCACAACUUUCUGGAAGGAUCCAUCACUAAGUUUUGUCCAAAAGGUCCCAGUUGGUCACAGCGGGAGCACAGCUCCUUCACAGACACGAUGGAGAAAGCGUGAGUUUGGCAAGGGGGAGCAGAGGCCAGAGAUAGUUUGGCACUCACAGGAAAACAGAGGCUUUUGGCAACACAAAGGGACGUUCCUUUAUCUCUAUGCAAAAUUACACUUUGCUUUUUGAGGAAGUGGAUGAGAUAGGAGCUGCUGGUUCCCCACCAACCACUUCGCCAGAUGCACAUUAAAACAUUGAGCAGUGAGAUCUGAUGCUCUGGAAAACUGUAUGCUCCAUUAGCAACACCUUGUUUAGAAAAACUGGGCCAUCUGGACUUCAGAAUAACUGUUUCAAGCUGUUUUCUUAAAGACUGAAGGAAGACAACACGAGAUUUAUUUGUACUCUGCAAGCAACUGUCCCCACAUUUAACAUCCCUGUUUUAAGCAAGCAGAAAAUGUGCAGCCCGAGCCUGCAGCAGAGCAACCUGCAUGGCAGCUCUGCAUUGGCAAACGCAAAGGGCUCAGAACAUGGCGAUGCUCACACAGAUAACAGAACUGCACUUUGUACAAACUCAGUGAGCUGAAUGCUGAUAGUAAAUUCCCUGGGGCUCAACCCCAGCUGCAGUUGAACUAACCUUGCACAACCUUAUUCCUAUAUUCAACUCUGAUAACUAUCCAGAAGACAAAACCACUCCUUAUAAAGAACUAACAUCAGAACUCAAGAACUUCAGCCCACUGAUGUCUCCUUAAUGUUGGUCAUCUCUCCUUCCCAGCUCCGGCCUUGAGAAGCUGCCCUCUGCCAGCACCUGAGCUAGCAUCAAGGUAUCUCUGCUGUAAAGCAUGUGGGGAUGGAGGGCAAAAAACAGCGUCCAACACCUACACGUAAGGGGAAAGGGGAAGACAAGCGUUCUUCUAUGGAGACGAAAAUGAGUUCAGGAAAUCUGGGCAUCUCCAGACAUGUGCUUCCAGUGCUUAGGAGACCAAUCUCAUCCAAAGACACAUUCAGAAGCCCAUGACAGAAGUUUUAUAUCCCUUGACAAUGAUUUCAGAGUUCCUUCUUUUGACGAAUAGCAGCGAAGAGCAAGGGAAAGUAGUCAGCAAUUUAUAAUUACCACCAGGAUAAAACAACACAACAACAACAAAGGCGCUGAUGUAAUCAAGUUCUUACCCUGUGCAACAGAAAAGACAGCAAUUUGAGGUUAACACGAGUGGCGUUUUGCCAGUUUCCUACCGUCCCUGGUUCUCACCUUGCAAACCAGCUGAACAGUAGCAGCUUCUUGUUUAAAAAA
rnacentral:lncRNA from 1 species